rfam:Klebsiella pneumoniae subsp. pneumoniae DSM 30104 plasmid pKPt4 Contig00026, whole genome shotgun sequence.
AUAGCUGAAUUGUUGGCUAUACGGUUUUUAGAUGGCCCCGGUAAUCUUUCAUGUCGCCAAACUUGAAGAAGAUUAUCGGGGUUUUCACUU